rnacentral:rRNA from 1 species
UACGAAGGGGGCUAGCGUUGUUCGGAAUCACUGGGCUUAAAGGGUGCGCAGGCGGGUUCAUAAGUCAGGGGUGAAAUCCCGAGGCUCAACCUCGGAACUGCCUUUGAUACUGUGGAUCUUGAGUCCGGAAGAGGUGAGCGGAACUGCGAGUGUAGCGGUGAAAUGCGUAGAUAUUCGAAAGAACACCGGUGGCGAAGGCGGCUCACUGGUCCGUAACUGACGCUGAUGCACGAAAGCGUGGGGAGCAAACAGG